GUAAAACCAAUCACAUUAGUAGAUGAAACAUUCUUUCAUUAAUUCAUGUAGCCGUAGUUUAAAAUAAAGGGAGGUAACUCAAGAAUGUCAAAAUAAUAAUUUUGUUGCAAAAUGGCAUGUAUGGGUUGCUGUAAGGCCAUGAGGCCUCGGUACAAGAGGCUGGUAGAUGACAUAUUUCCUGUGAAUCCAGAGGAUGGCCUAAUGAAGAACAACAUGGAUAAAUUGACAUUCUACGCUUUGUCAUCUCCAGAGAAACUAGACAGGAUAGGGGAAUACCUGGCCAGUAAACUGAGCAGAGAUGUUGCCAGAAGAAGGAUAGCG